CGAGUGAACCGGGAAAAGCUCAAAUUUGAAAUCUGGCUGUCUUCGAUAGUCCGAGUUGUAAUCUAUAGAAGUGUUUUCCGUGCUGAACUGUGUCUAAGUCCCUUGGAACAGGGUAUCAAAGAGGGUGACAAUCCCGUACUUGACACAAUCAUCAGUGCUCUGUGAUACACUUUCUACGAGUCGAGUUGUUUGGGAAUGCAGCUCAAAAUGGGUGGUAAAUUCCAUCUAAAGCUAAAUAUUGGCGAGAGACCGAUAGCGAACAAGUACCGUGAGGGAAAGAUGAAAAGCACUUUGGAAAGAGAGUUAAACAGUACGUGAAAUUGUUGAAAGGGAAACGAUUGAAGUCAGUCGUGUUCAUUGGAUUCAGCUAGUUCUUCUAGUCUACUUCCUUUGAACGGGUCAACAUCAGUUUUGUCCGGUGGAUAAAGGCAGUAGGAAUGUGGCUUCUUCGGAAGUGUUAUAGCCUAUUGUCACAUACACUGGAGGAGACUGAGGACUGCAGCUCGCCUUUUGGCCGGGGUUCGCCCACGUUCGAGCUUAGG
rnacentral:rRNA from 1 species